GACUGGUUCAAGUGCAGCAGUGUUUAUAACUAAUCAAUCACAACCAGUUACAGAUAACUUUGUUCCUUCUCCACUCCCACUGCUUCACUUGACUAGCCUUAA
rnacentral:Y_RNA from 1 species